rnacentral:rRNA from 1 species
UACGAAGGGGGCUAGCGUUGCUCGGAAUCACUGGGCGUAAAGGGUGCGUAGGCGGCUUUGUAAGUCGGGGGUGAAAGCCUGUGGCUCAACCACAGAAUUGCCUUCGAUACUGCAUGGCUUGAGACCGGAAGAGGUUAGUGGAACUGCGAGUGUAGAGGUGAAAUUCGUAGAUAUUCGCAAGAACACCAGUGGCGAAGGCGGCUGACUGGUCCGGUUCUGACGCUGAGGCGCGAAAGCGUGGGGAGCAAACAGG